UACGUAGGGUGCGAGCGUUAAUCGGAAUUACUGGGCGUAAAGCGUGCGCAGGCGGUUCGUUAAGUCAGCUGUGAAAGCCCCGGGCUUAACCUGGGAAUGGCGGUUGAAACUGGCGAACUUGAAUCUGGCAGAGGGGGGUGGAAUUCCACGUGUAGCAGUGAAAUGCGUAGAGAUCGGGAGGAACAUCAGUGGCGAAGGCGGCCAUCUGGGACAACACUGACGCUGAGGCACGAAAGCGUGGGGAGCAAACAGG
rnacentral:rRNA from 1 species